rnacentral:rRNA from 1 species
CGGGGGGGGCAAGCGUUGUUCGGAAUUACUGGGCGUAAAGGGCCAGUAGGCGGCCAACUAAGUCCGACGUGAAAUCCCCAGGCUUAACCUGGGAACUGCGUCGGAUACUGGAUGGCUUGAAUUCGGGAGAGGGAUGCAGAAUUCCAGGUGUAGCGGUGAAAUGCGUAGAUAUCUGGAGGAAUACCGGUGGCGAAGGCGGCAUCCUGGACCGACAUUGACGCUGAACGGCGAAAGCUAGGGGAGCAAACGGGAUUAGAUACCCCGGUAGUCCUAGCCCUAAACGAUGAAUGCUUGGUGUGGCGGGUAUCGAUCCCUGCCGUGCCGAAGCUAACGCAUUAAGCAUUCCGCCUGGGGAGUACGGUCGCAAGGCUG